AAUUAAAGAUGUAAUUACAAUAAUCAUGCUGAGAUAAUUUUUUUGACCUAGAAUCAAUAUCUAAACCCCAAAUCAACCUCUCCUCCGCCGUGUUCAUCAUCCUCUCCCAUCGCCGCCUUGUUGGUUCAUCAUCGUCGCCCGUGUUCAUUAUCAUCUUCCCCUAUCUACCCGCGCCGUCCAUCAUCCUCUCCCCCUCGCCGCCGCGCCGGUUCAUCGUCGCCGUCCAGUGUUCAUUAUCAUCUUCUCCUAUCUACCCGCGCCGUCAGUGUUCAUCAGCUUCUGCGUUCGUCAGCUUCAGCAUCUCCUUCGUGCUCACUCGUUGUCUCUUCGCUCCUUACUCGUUUUCUCUUUCGUUCUCUGCACUUUAUUCCUCCUUGGUCCUUCUUCUUCAAAGUUCAAAUUUGCAGUCAACUUGUGGAAUUUCCAGAAAUUUUACCUGCAAUCAGUUCAUGAUGACCGAUUUGUCCGAUGAUGAGAUGCACUUUAAGAAUGUGUAUGAAGGAAUGCCUAAGGAUACUGAAGCGGGUGACGAUGACGUUAAUUCAAUUGAGGAUAUUGAUGAUUCUGAUUUGUAUUUUAUGUUUACGUUUUUUGUGGCCUUAGGAGCAGUUGGGGACUAAGUCUAUUGCUUCUUAAGUGAAUAAACAAUUGAUUUGAUUAAAUUUUCAAUGUUCUUCAUUCCUGUCAUAUGUAAACAAUUUUUUUUGCCAUUUUACUUCUUAUGGGUUUUAUUCAAGCAGGUUUACUUGGUAAAAAUAUCUUCCUAUUUCAA